UACGUAGGGAGCAAGCGUUGUCCGGAAUCAUUGGGCGUAAAGCGCGCGUAGGUGGCCCCGUAAGUCCGCUGUGAAAGUCAAAGGCUCAACCUUUGAAAGCCGGUGGAUACUGUGGGGCUAGAGUACGGAAGAGGCGAGUGGAAUUCCUGGUGUAGCGGUGGAAUGCGCAGAUAUCAGGAGGAACACCAAUAGCGAAGGCAGCUCGCUGGGACGUUACUGACACUGAGGCGCGAAAGCGUGGGGGAGCGAACAGG
rnacentral:rRNA from 1 species